CAACAGGGAUUGCCCUAGUAACGGCGAGUGAAGCGGCAACAGCUCAAAUUUGAAAUCUGGCCCUCGGGUCCGAGUUGUAAUUUGUAGAGGAUGCUUUUGGUGCGGUGCCUUCCGAGUUCCCUGGAACGGGACGCCAUAGAGGGUGAGAGCCCCGUCUGGUUGGACACCAAUCCUCUGUAAAGCUCCUUCGACGAGUCGAGUAGUUUGGGAAUGCUGCUCUAAAUGGGAGGUAUAUGUCUUCUAAAGCUAAAUACCGGCCAGAGACCGAUAGCGCACAAGUAGAGUGAUCGAAAGAUGAAAAGCACUUUGAAAAGAGAGUUAAAAAGUACGUGAAAUUGUUGAAAGGGAAGCGCUUAUGACCAGACUUGGGCUUGGUAGAUCAACCUGGGUUCUCCCUGGUGCACUCUUCCUCGUCCAGGCCAGCAUCAGUUCGCUGCGGGGGAUAAAGGUUUCGGGAAUGUGGCUCCCUCGGGAGUGUUAUAGCCCGUUGCGUAAUACCCUGCGGUGGACUGAGGUUCGCGUUCUGCAAGGAUGCUGGCGUAAUGGUCAUCAGCGACCCGUCUUGAAACACGGACCAAGGAGUCGUCUUCGUAUGCGAGUGUUCGGGUGUUAAACCCCUACGCGUAAUGAAAGUGAACGCAGGUGAGAGCUUCGGCGCAUCAUCGACCGAUCCUGAUGUUCUCGGAUGGAUUUGAGUAAGAGCAUACGGGGCCGGACCCGAAAGAAGGUGAACUAUGCCUGUAUAGGGUGAAGCCAGAGGAAACUCUGGUGGAGGCUCGCAGCGGUUCUGACGUGCAAAUCGAUCGUCAAAUAUGGGCAUGGGGGCGAAAGACUAAUCGA
rnacentral:rRNA from 1 species